CCUACGGGAGGCAGCAGUGAGGAAUAUUGGUCAAUGGGCGGAAGCCUGAACCAGCCAAGUCGCGUGAGGGAUUAAGGCCCUGCGGGUCGUAAACCUCUUUUGCCGGGGAGCAGAGGUCGGGACGUGUCCUGUCCGGGAGAGUACCCGUAGAAAAAGCAUCGGCUAACUCGGUGCCAGCAGCGGCGGUAAUACGGAGGAUGCGAGGGUUAUCCGGAUUUAUUGGGUUUAAAGGGUGCGUAGGCGGGCAUUUAAGCCGGCGGUCAAGUGUCGGGGCUCAACCCCGGCCUGCCGUCGGAACUGGGUGCCUUGAGUGGGCGAGAAGCAUGCGGAAUGCGUGGUGUAGCGGUGAAAUGCAUAGAUAUCACGCAGAACCCCGAUUGCGAAGGCAGCAUACCGGCGCCCUACUGACGCUGAGGCACGAAAGUGCGGGUAUCGAACAGGAUUAGAUACCCCGGUAGUC
rnacentral:rRNA from 1 species